GACGAACGCUGGCGGCGUGCUUAACACAUGCAAGUCGAACGGAAAGGCCCUGCUUUUGUGGGGUGCUCGAGUGGCGAACGGGUGAGUAACACGUGAGUAACCUGCCCUUGACUUUGGGAUAACUUCAGGAAACGGGGGCUAAUACCGGAUAGGAGCUCCUGCUGCAUGGUGGGGGUUGGAAAGUUUCGGCGGUUGGGGAUGGACUCGCGGCUUAUCAGCUUGUUGGUGGGGGAGUGGUUUACCAAGGCUUUGACGGGUAGCCGGCCUGAGAGGGUGACCGGCCACAAUGGGACUGAGAGAGGGACCAGAGGCCAACGGGAGGCAGCAGGGGGGAAUAUUGCACAAUGGGCGGAAGCGGGAUGCAGCAACGCCGCGUGCGGGAUGACGGCCUUCGGGUUGUAAACCGCUUUCGCCUGUGACGAAGCGUGAGUGACGGUAAUGGGUAAAGAAGCACCGGCUAACUACGUG
rnacentral:rRNA from 1 species